rnacentral:rRNA from 1 species
UACGGGGGGGGCAAGCGUUGUUCGGAAUUACUGGGCGUAAAGGGCUCGUAGGCGGCCAACUAAGUCAGACGUGAAAUCCCUCGGCUUAACCGGGGAACUGCGUCUGAUACUGGAUGGCUUGAGUUUGGGAGAGGGAUGCGGAAUUCCAGGUGUAGCGGUGAAAUGCGUAGAGAUGUGGAGGAACACCAGUGGCGAAGGCGACUCUUUGGCCUGUAACUGACGCUGAGGCGCGAAAGCGUGGGGAGCAAACAGG